rnacentral:lncRNA from 1 species
AAAAGUCAAGAAUGGGCGCGGUUUGAGCACGAAUCAGCCUGUCAUGCGCAGAAACGCAAGAAAACGUGUGCAGUUUGAUGAGAUUUUAGCGGGUUUUUAAAAAUUUAUCAGGAUUAAGCACAUUUCAGAAUUGAAUAAGAGGCCUUUUUGCGAGGUCUCACAGGAAGCUGAAUUUGGAUUGGAAUGACGAGGAAUUAUUUCACCCUGACCUUGGACAAUUUUUGCACACUUACUUCCUGUCACGUACACACUCUCUCAAGCGC